rnacentral:lncRNA from 1 species
AGUAGUUUUAGUUAGGUUAGUUAGUUAGCUUGGUUACUUAGGUGGAGGAGGAGAAGAGGAGAAGAGGAGGAGGAGGAGGACGAGAAGAGGAGAAGAAGAAGAGGAGUAGGAGGAGGAGGGGGAGGAGAAGAAGAAGAAGAAGAAGAAGAAGAAGAAGAAGAAGAAGAAGAAGAAGAAGAGAAGAAAAAAAUAAGAAGGAGAAGAAGAAGAAGAAGAAAUAAGAAGGAGAAGAAGUAAAGAAGAAGAGAAGAAGAAGAGAAGAAGAGAAUA